UUGGAGUGAACGGUGUCGCUACAAACGCUGCCCUCAACAUUCGCCCUUCCCCUCUCCAUCUCUUUUUUUUUCUCUCUCUCUCUCUCGCGGCUGAUAUUGCUAAGUUUGUAGUUUGAAUAUCUAAAUUUGUGUAAAGUCAAAUUUGGCAUUCAUUAUUUUAUAAGUUUUGAUUGUAAUAUAUAUUGAUAAUUUUGAAAUACAGCAAAAACUAUUGUUGUAUUACUUUUUUAUAUUAGUAUUAUACAACUUUUGUUUCACGAUUUAUUAGUCAUAUUAAAAGUCACAUUAACGUCCAUGAAUGAAUUUGUCAGGAAUUAUUAAGGAAUUGCAAAAAAAAGUGAAAGAAAGAAAGUAGUUAGCUUAGUGGAUACAUUUUAUACUGAGUUUCAGAUUUCCACACUAUCUCGAUCAGCCCAGCAACGGGGGGAUAUUACCUGUAAAUCCCGCACCAUCAUACAUGAGAAACAAAAAGUGAGAGGAAAUAUUCCUGAAAAAAUGUGAACUUGGAAAGUUUACCUGUUCAGUUCAGUGGUGAGAGAAGAGACACUUGACGAUUGAAAUUAAAGAAAAAAAAAGUCUCGCCUAAUCGCUUGAACGAAUGACCUGGAGCCUUUUGAGACAACAAGGAUCUCGACGAUGGCGAUAAACAGAACAAAGGACAUCUGUAUUCUUGCCUUAUCCACCUCCAGCAAAUUCUCCGCCAAGCCAUUCAUACCCUCUACUUUGACUUCAAUGUCACCUGGCGGAGCUUUGCAAGCGCUCCUGAAGUUACCGCGAUGCGCACAGGAAUGCGCGAACGUGUCGCAAUGCUGCGUUGAACCGCCCAGGAUUUCGUGUCCGAGCUUACAACCGAGGCUCAUGUUGCAAGCCUUUCUCAUUUUCAUGCAUCUUGUUUCAGGGACACUCAGCAAACACGUUCACGGAAUUAGAGUUCCACAGCCAGGUGUCGUCGGACGACCAGCAGUCCUCGAGUGUGUGUUCGAUACGGACAUAGACGAUUUCUAUUCUACUCGGUGGUAUUUGAACGGAGAGCAGUUCUACAGUUUUAUCAAGGGAAAUACCCCAGAGAAGGUGAACCACAACCAUACACAUGUUAAU